CGAACCUGCCUCAUACAGAGGGAUAAUCAUGUGAAAACGUGACUAAUACCGCAUGUCAUUACUGGAGGGCAUCCUCCGGUAAGAAAAGGAGCAAUCCGGUAUGAGAUGGGCCCGCAUCUGAUUAGCUAGUUGGUGAGAUAACAGCCCACCAAGGCGACGAUCAGUAGCCGACCUGAGAGGGUGAUCGGCCACAUUGGGACUGAGACACGGCCAA
rnacentral:rRNA from 1 species